rnacentral:tRNA from 1 species
GGUCCGUUGGUCAAGCGGCUAAGACACUGCCCUCUCACGGCAGAAACAGGGGUUCGAUUCCCCUACGGACUACUA